rnacentral:rRNA from 1 species
GAUGAACGCUGGCGGCGUGCCUAAUACAUGCAAGUCGAGCGAACGGACGAGAAGCUUGCUUCUCUGAUGUUAGCGGCGGACGGGUGAGUAACACGUGGAUAGCCUACCUAUAAGACUGAGAUAACUUCGGGAAACCGGAGCUAAUACCGGAUAAUAUUUUGAACCGCAUGGUUCAAAAGUGAAAGACGGUCUUGCUGUCACUUAUAGAUGGAUCCGCGCUGCAUUAGCUAGUUGGUAAGGUAACGGCUUACCAAGGCAACGAUGCAUAGCCGACCUGAGAGGGUGAUCGGCCACACUGGAACUGAGACACGGUCCAGACUCCUACGGGAGGCAGCAGUAGGGAAUCUUCCGCAAUGGGCGAAAGCCUGACGGAGCAACGCCGCGUGAGUGAUGAAGGUCUUCGGAUCGUAAAACUCUGUUAUUAGGGAAGAACAUAUGUGUAAGUAACUGUGCACAUCUUGACGGUACCUAAUCAGAAAGCCACGGCUAACUACGUG